GUUUGACAAACAGAGUGAUCUAUUUUAGGGCAUUAUAUAUAAAACCACUUAUGCCAGUGUGGGCAGUGUGCCAAGUCUUGCCUGGACCUGCUUGGAUUUCAUUUUCCAGCAGAACUUGGCACACUGCCGAAGAACCAGUUGGUCUUAUAUAAUAAUAUCAUUUUCUGAGAUACUGAUUUUUUUUUUUUUCUGUAGGCCAUAAUCCUUAACAAAAAAAGAAUUAAACACUUAAUAUAGAUCACUCUGUGUUUAAUACAUCUAUAUAAUAUAUGAGUUUCACAUUUUGAACUGAAUUACUGAAAUAAAUGAUAUUUUUGUAUAGUUUUCUGCAUUAAUAUGAUCUGCUGUGUGUCUGUAGGCUUCAUAAUGCUGUGUAUCCGGAGCAGCCGGUGUUCUCCCUCACGCUGCUGCAUGUCCUCAGUGCUCCUCUACACGGUCUGGCCAACGCUCUCGUCUUCGGCAAGGACACCUGGAGUCAGCUCAGCACCACAGGAUUCAAAAUGGCUGUUAUGUCUCGGCUGUGUGACAGUACCCGGAUCGGCGAGUAUCACCCGGCCAGCGUUAAAUACUCCGCCGACCUGGAGUCCGACUCCGACGACGACGACAACAACGUCCUGUUCUACAGUCCUGACAUGAGCCUGAAAGAGAGAGGACCCUGAGAGAGAGAGAGAGUGUGUGUGUGUGUGAGUGUGUAAGUGUGUGAGUGUGUGUGUGUGUGUGUGUACGUGUGUGCUUACUUUCUCACUCCUUGCCUUUUAGUAAAACUGCAGCUCUUCUCUUGUGCUUAACAGUAUUUCAGCAUUUUAUUUGACUUUAAGGAGGAAAAAAGAAAGAAUUUCCGUAAAGAGAACUGAGUUUACAUUUCUUACAUUUAAAAUCGCUUUUUUGAGCUGAAUGUCUUCAGUAUUACGAGUUUUUUUGUUUUUGCUACGUUUUAAGCAUGUUUCCUGGUUAUUUAUGAAAGAUUCUGAUAUAUUUUUGUACUGUUUGCAAAUAAUCUGAAUUUACAAUGUGUAUAAAUUCUGUUCUCUAUCU
rnacentral:lncRNA from 1 species